GAUGAAUAACGCAGUGAAAUGCGAUAAGUAAUGUGAAUUGCAGAAUUCAGUGAAUCAUCGAAUCUUUGAACGCACAUUGCGCCCCCCAGUAUUCUGGCGGGCAUGCCUGUUCGAGCGUCAUUUCAACCAUCAAGCCCUGCUUGUGUUGGGGUCCUGCGGCUGCCCGCAGGCCCUGAAAACCAGUGGCGGGCUCGCUAGUCACACCGAGCGCAGUAGCACAUCUCGCUCAGGGCGUGCGGCGGGCUCCAGCCGUUAAAGCACCCACCUUUCGCAAGGUUGACCUCGGAUCAGGUAGGAAUACCCGCUGAACUUAAGCAUAUCAAUAAGCGGAGGA
rnacentral:misc_RNA from 1 species